CAGUCGCCACGGUAAUACAGAGGGUGCGAGCGUUAAUCGGAUUUACUGGGCGUAAAGCGUGCGUAGGCGGCUAAUUGAGUCGGAUGUGAAAUCCCCGAGCUUAACUUGGGAAUUGCAUUCGAUACUGGUUAGCUAGAGUGUGGGAGAGGAUGGUAGAAUUCCAGGUGUAGCGGUGAAAUGCGUAGAGAUCUGGAGGAAUACCGAUGGCGAAGGCAGCCAUCUGGCCUAACACUGACGCUGAGGUACGAAAGCAUGGGGAGCAAACAGGAUUAGAUACCCCAGUAGUCCCUGUCUCUUAUAC
rnacentral:rRNA from 1 species